rnacentral:tRNA from 1 species
CAGUGAAACAUAGUUUAAACAAAACCCUAGCCUGUGACUCUAGAAAAGUAGACUAACCAUCUUCUGUUCACC